CUCUUCAUCUCUGCUUCCUUCUGCAUCCUCCUGCAUCUCCCUCAAUUUCUACGGCGUACACCUCGGAUGUCCCAACCAAAAAAAGGACAAGGAAAGGUUAGACGUUAUGUUAUUGUAAAUGUACGAAACACAUGACAGGUUCGUUAAGUUUGAUAAGAUUUCUUUUUUCAUUUUGUUUCAUUCUUUCAUUUUCUCCAGUUUUACAGACCUCAUGUAAAUAUUUCCUUUGUUAUUUUUCAGAAUGCUGAAAACACCGUACACAGAAGAUUUUCAAAUAUGAAGAGAUAGUAGACAGGAGAGUUGUAAAUGAAAAAGAAGAAGUUAAAGUCAAGUGGAAGCCCUGCUCAACAUGUUUCUGUGCUCUCUCAUCCAGCAGGUUCUGAAGGAUCGUGGCUGCUGCUGUGGUCCUGCUUGACGUCUGCUUCAUAUAUUAUUACUCUCUGACUUGAUUUGAUUCAUUUAUAUUACAAUGAAGUGGCAAAGUGUGGGAUGACACAUGGGAACCUGCGCAGUUUUACACACAGUAAACCAGGCACCACAGGUGGCAGAGAUCGCACAGUUCACAGUUUGUAGUUCAGCAUAAAAGUUCAAAAUAAGAUAUUUACUGUACAAUUCUAACCAGUGUCAGUCUCUGUUUCACUCUCUAACUGUGGCUUAAGUACAUAAAACACUCGUGAAUCUGAUCCAUCAAUAAUAUCUUCCCAGCACUCGAUAUCUCAUAGUUUUACAUAUCAGUCAACAUUAUUGUCUACAUGCUCAUAAAUAUAGAAGUGACUUGGCUAUUGUAACAUAUUGCAAGUUAAAGCAAUACUGCACUGCACGUAAAGUAAGUAACAUCUUGUAUGAGGUGAUUAGGGUCAGCAGUGCUGUGUAU
ensembl:lncRNA